rnacentral:rRNA from 1 species
UACGUAGGGGGCGAGCGUUGUCCGGAAUCAUUGGGCGUAAAGAGCGUGUAGGCGGCCCGGUCAGUCUGGUGUGAAAUCUUGGAGCUUAACUCCGAAACUGCAUUCGAUACUGCCGUGCUUGAGGACUGGAGAGGAGACUGGAAUUUACGGUGUAGCGGUGAAAUGCGUAGAUAUCGUAAGGAAGACCAGUGGCGAAGGCGGGUCUCUGGACAGUUCCUGACGCUGAGGCACGAAGGCCAGGGGAGCAAACGGG